GGUAACAAUGGCGAGAAGGUCACACCCGUUCCCAUCCCGAACACGGAAGUUAAGCUUCUCAGCGCCGAUGGUAGUUGGGGGCUGUCCCCCUGCAAGAGUAGGACGUUGCCAGGC
rnacentral:rRNA from 1 species